rnacentral:rRNA from 1 species
AUUGAACGCUGGCGGCAUGCUUUACACAUGCAAGUCGAACGGUAACAGGGUGCUUGCACCGCUGACGAGUGGCGAACGGGUGAGUAAUGCGUCGGAACGUGCCGAGUAGUGGGGGAUAACGCAGCGAAAGUUGUGCUAAUACCGCAUACGUACUGAGGUAGAAAGUGGGGGACCUUCGGGCCUCACGCUAUUCGAGCGGCCGACGUCUGAUUAGCUAGUAGGUGAGGUAAAGGCUCACCUAGGCGACGAUCAGUAGCGGGUCUGAGAGGAUGAUCGGCCACACUGGGACUGAGACACGGCCCAGACUCCUACGGGAGGCAGCAGUGGGGAAUUUUGGACAAUGGGCGAAAGCCUGAUCCAGCCAUGCCCCGUGUCUGAAGAAGGCCUUCGGGUUGUAAAGGACUUUUGUCAGGGAGGAAAUCCCUAGUGCUAAUAACACUGGGGGAUGACAGUACCUGAAGAAUAAGCACCGGCUAACUACGUGCCAGCAGCCGCAGUAA